AUUACGUCGACGAAGUAACUUAAGCUUUGUAAGUUUACUUGGUGUACAUAGUAAAUGAACACGUUUUACAACAGGAAUGAGUCUGCACCAUUUUGAAGGAAACCGCACAGAGUCCAUGUUCAAGUAUAUUUUGUUCAAAAACAUUUUUUACAGAGUUGUUUAUUUUACUAUGAUCAAGAUAGGGCUCUCUUAUUAAAUUUGUAUGAACUGGAAUACUACACAUUUGAGUUCUAUUAUUCCCAUAUUGUUUCUAAGAAAAAGCAAAAUUAUGAAUAUCAGAAUAUUAUAAACAUUAUUUGGGGAGAUUGNCAAUAAAGGCAGAGCUAAUUCAUUACAAUCAUCAUAGGAAUUUUCAUGAGUAAUAUCUAGUUUUUUGACAAUGCUGUUUGAUUUGGAAGAUAAAUGAUUUGUAUGUAUAUUGCCUUCAUCGACAAUUGCACCAGAAGUAUCAUGAAUAUUAUUACUUAAUCCUUCAAAAUCAAAUACAGGAUAUGCAUCUGCUUUUAAAAGUACCUUAAUUCAAAAAUAUACGUUAA
rnacentral:lncRNA from 1 species